rnacentral:lncRNA from 1 species
ACAAUGGGCGCGGCGCCCGAGCCCCUGACAGCGCCAUAAAUUGGCCGUGCAAAGCCGAGCGCUAGGUGGUCCCCCCUGGAGAAAAGAGCCGCCGCCGAGGGCGCGAAAAGGCGAGUCCGGAAGCCCGCCAGGGAGCCAGUGGCGCGUUUUCCAGAUCACCCUGUUGGAACUUAGCGUAGCAGAGGAAGAACACCAUGGAAUAAGGAGAAAGGAGAUACAAGUAGCCUCUCCAGGAAGAAUGUGACUGAAUACUUUUUAUACAAAACCACAAAAUUAGAUAAAUAUGUAUUUAAGUGUUAUUCCUGAAAGCUGGAGAAAGAAAUCUUACUUCUAAGAAUUGUUUAGCGAAGGAAUAAGAAAAUGUGAUGCUUGGAAGAAAAAACACACUGCCGAGAGGCCUUGCGCUGAGUGUGCUGAACAAUAGACAACCUCUAAGGAUGCUCGCCUGCAAUUCCGGCUCUGCCAUCAAUUCACUGUAUGCCUUUGGAUCAUCUACAAGACAUGAAUGAUGUUCAGAAUUACUUGUCAUGCCCUUUGCUUGGGGCUGAAAACAAGAUGCAGUCACACAGAUUUCAAUGGAGUGUGUACUCUAGAGGCAGACUGCCUGGGAUCAAAAUGCUUGCAGUAUAACCAUUGACAGCUUCCAUAACUUAUCUCUUCCCAGGUUAAUCAACCUGUAAAAUGGGUAUGCAACUAAGACAUGCCUGAGUGAAGUUUCCUAGGAGCCAGAUAAUUAAUCCAACAUUUAUCUGAAAUGCUGAACUAACUUGCAUAAUUCUUCAAAUGAAUAUCACACCUUCGAUGGGGACAUACAAAUUGUUUCAACCUGAGGCUUGAAAAUAUGUGUCAUAAAGCAUUCUGAUUUAUCAAGAACACGUUGUAAUUUGUUGCAUUUGGAAUGUAGCUACCUAACUUCCUGAAUAUUUUAAUAAAAUACCUGUAAAAUUACACAAUCAAAACUAUACCUCCACCAAGCAAAGUGACAGAGAUGGUACUAACAUCAACAAAAAGUGAGAAAACGAGAGCAAAGAGAGAUUAAGUUGUCAAAGAUCACUCAGAAAGUGUGUAUGAAAAAUACUAGACAGGUCUUUCACUUGGAGACUUGUGUACUACAGCACACAUUUGAUUUACUUGGGCAGAACCACUUAAUCACUGGGUAUUGGCUUUGAAAGAAGAGGCAGAAUGAUAAUUCUCUUAAGCUGUCUCGUGAGCAUCCCCUAACACAGCAGAGAUAUCAAGUUGAUAAUAUAAAUUCAAGACAAAAUGUCUGAACACUCAUCAGAAACUGUCUUUUAGUUUGCAGAGAAAUUUGUGCCUGACAUUUGAAAUUUUCAAGAUAAAUAAAAAAAUCGUGGCCACAUA